UACGAAGGGGGCUAGCGUUGCUCGGAAUCACUGGGCGUAAAGCGCACGUAGGCGGAUUGUUAAGUCGGGGGUGAAAUCCUGGAGCUCAACUCCAGAACUGCCUUCGAUACUGGCGAUCUUGAGUCCGGGAGAGGUGAGUGGAACUCCGAGUGUAGAGGCGAAAUUCGUAGAUAUUCGGAAGAACACCAGUGGCGAAGGCGGCUCACUGGCCCGGUACUGACGCUGAGGUGCGAAAGCGUGGGGAGCAAACAGG
rnacentral:rRNA from 1 species